rnacentral:antisense_RNA from 2 species
UUCAAUGGGCGGCAAUGGUAGGGAGGCUUCGGCCUGCCGGGUUCCUUGUGCACCGGUCUCUCAACCUUGCCAUUUGCCGCCCACCCCG